GGGAAUAUAGUUUAGAGUAGAAUGCGGUUUUUGUAAAACUGUGGUGCGUAUCUGUUUAUUUAGCUGUUUCCA
rnacentral:tRNA from 1 species